GAUGAACGCUAGCUACAGGCUUAACACAUGCAAGUCGAGGGGUAACGAGAGGAAAGCUUGCUUUCCUUGUCGACGACCGGCGCACGGGUGAGUAACGCGUAUCCAACCUGCCCCCAACUAGGGAAUAACCUUGCGAAAGUAAGACUAAUACCCUAUAAUUUCCUCAGAUGUCAUCUGACGAGGAAUAAAGAUUUAUCGGUUGUGGAUGGGGAUGCGUCUGAUUAGCUUGUUGGCGGGGUAACGGCCCACCAAGGCAACGAUCAGUAGGGGUUCUGAGAGGAAGGUCCCCCACAUUGGAACAGAGACACGGUCCAAACUCCUACGGGAGGCAGCAGUGAGGAAUAUUGGUCAAUGGGCGGAAGCCUGAACCAGCCAAGUAGCGUGCAGGAUGACGGCCCUAUGGGUUGUAAACUGCUUUUAUACAGGAAUAAAGUUAGCCACGUGUGGUUAUUUGUAGGUACUGUAUGAAUAAGGACCGGCUAAUUCCGUGCCAGCAGCCGCCGCGG
rnacentral:rRNA from 1 species